UUCCAGCUCCAAUAGCGUAUAUUAAAGUUGUUGCGGUUAAAAAGCUCGUAGUUGAAUUUGUGUUCCGCGCUGUCGGUUCACCGCCCGCGGUGUUUAACUGGCACGUCUCGCGGAACGUCCUGCCGGUGGAUGUGUGAUGUUUGUUUACUUCCCUCAUUGUGCGUGUGCACUUGUGUUACUGCCUGUGAGGUGGGGUUUCAAAUUAAUUACCAUCCGACUCAAUAAUCCUGUCGCGGUGCUCUUAAUUGAGUGUCGAGGCGGGCCGGCACGUUUACUUUGAACAAAUUAAAGUGCUCAAAGCAGGCUAAAAUUUCGCCUGAAUAUUGUGUGCAUGGAAUAAUGAAACAGGACCUCGGUUCUAUUUUGUUGGUUUUCGGAACCCCGAGGUAAUGAUUAAUAGGGACAGAUGG
rnacentral:rRNA from 2 species